rnacentral:rRNA from 1 species
GGUUAAGCGACUAAGCGUACACGGUGGAUGCCCUGGCAGUCAGAGGCGAUGAAGGACGUGCUAAUCUGCGAUAAGCGUCGGUAAGGUGAUAUGAACCGUUAUAACCGGCGAUUUCCGAAUGGGGAAACCCAGUGUGAUUCGUCACACUAUCAUUAACUGAAUCCAUAGGUUAAUGAGGCGAACCGGGGGAACUGAAACAUCUAAGUACCCCGAGGAAAAGAAAUCAACCGAGAUUCCCCCAGUAGCGGCGAGCGAACGGGGAGCAGCCCAGAGCCUGAAUCAGUGUGUGUGUUAGUGGAAGCGUCUGGAAAGGCGCGCGAUACAGGGUGACAGCCCCGUACACAAAAAUGCACAUACUGUGAGCUCGAUGAGUAGGGCGGGACACGUGGUAUCCUGUCUGAAUAUGGGGGGACCAUCCUCCAAGGCUAAAUACUCCUGACUGACCGAUAGUGAACCAGUACCGUGAGGGAAAGGCGAAAAGAACCCCGGCGAGGGGAGUGAAAAAGAACCUGAAACCGUGUACGUACAAGCAGUGGGAGCACGCUUAGGCGUGUGACUGCGUACCUUUUGUAUAAUGGGUCAGCGACUUAUAUUCUGUAGCAAGGUUAACCGAAUAGGGGAGCCGAAGGGAAACCGAGUCUUAACUGGGCGUUAAGUUGCAGGGUAUAGACCCGAAACCCGGUGAUCUAGCCAUGGGCAGGUUGAAGGUUGGGUAACACUAACUGGAGGACCGAACCGACUAAUGUUGAAAAAUUAGCGGAUGACUUGUGGCUGGGGGUGAAAGGCCAAUCAAACCGGGAGAUAGCUGGUUCUCCCCGAAAGCUAUUUAGGUAGCGCCUCGUGAAUUCAUCUCCGGGGGUAGAGCACUGUUUCGGCAAGGGGGUCAUCCCGACUUACCAACCCGAUGCAAACUGCGAAUACCGGAGAAUGUUAUCACGGGAGACACACGGCGGGUGCUAACGUCCGUCGUGAAGAGGGAAACAACCCAGACCGCCAGCUAAGGUCCCAAAGUCAUGGUUAAGUGGGAAACGAUGUGGGAAGGCCCAGACAGCCAGGAUGUUGGCUUAGAAGCAGCCAUCAUUUAAAGAAAGCGUAAUAGCUCACUGGUCGAGUCGGCCUGCGCGGAAGAUGUAACGGGGCUAAACCAUGCACCGAAGCUGCGGCAGCGACGCUUAUGCGUUGUUGGGUAGGGGAGCGUUCUGUAAGCCUGCGAAGGUGUGCUGUGAGGCAUGCUGGAGGUAUCAGAAGUGCGAAUGCUGACAUAAGUAACGAUAAAGCGGGUGAAAAGCCCGCUCGCCGGAAGACCAAGGGUUCCUGUCCAACGUUAAUCGGGGCAGGGUGAGUCGACCCCUAAGGCGAGGCCGAAAGGCGUAGUCGAUGGGAAACAGGUUAAUAUUCCUGUACUUGGUGUUACUGCGAAGGGGGGACGGAGAAGGCUAUGUUGGCCGGGCGACGGUUGUCCCGGUUUAAGCGUGUAGGCUGGUUUUCCAGGCAAAUCCGGAAAACUAAGGCUGAGGCGUGAUGACGAGGCACUACGGUGCUGAAGCAACAAAUGCCCUGCUUCCAGGAAAAGCCUCUAAGCAUCAGGUAACAUCAAAUCGUACCCCAAACCGACACAGGUGGUCAGGUAGAGAAUACCAAGGCGCUUGAGAGAACUCGGGUGAAGGAACUAGGCAAAAUGGUGCCGUAACUUCGGGAGAAGGCACGCUGAUAUGUAGGUGAAGUCCCUCGCGGAUGGAGCUGAAAUCAGUCGAAGAUACCAGCUGGCUGCAACUGUUUAUUAAAAACACAGCACUGUGCAAACACGAAAGUGGACGUAUACGGUGUGACGCCUGCCCGGUGCCGGAAGGUUAAUUGAUGGGGUCAGCGCAAGCGAAGCUCUUGAUCGAAGCCCCGGUAAACGGCGGCCGUAACUAUAACGGUCCUAAGGUAGCGAAAUUCCUUGUCGGGUAAGUUCCGACCUGCACGAAUGGCGUAAUGAUGGCCAGGCUGUCUCCACCCGAGACUCAGUGAAAUUGAACUCGCUGUGAAGAUGCAGUGUACCCGCGGCAAGACGGAAAGACCCCGUGAACCUUUACUAUAGCUUGACACUGAACAUUGAGCCUUGAUGUGUAGGAUAGGUGGGAGGCUUUGAAGUGUGGACGCCAGUCUGCAUGGAGCCGACCUUGAAAUACCACCCUUUAAUGUUUGAUGUUCUAACGUUGACCCGUAAUCCGGGUUGCGGACAGUGUCUGGUGGGUAGUUUGACUGGGGCGGUCUCCUCCUAAAGAGUAACGGAGGAGCACGAAGGUUGGCUAAUCCUGGUCGGACAUCAGGAGGUUAGUGCAAUGGCAUAAGCCAGCUUGACUGCGAGCGUGACGGCGCGAGCAGGUGCGAAAGCAGGUCAUAGUGAUCCGGUGGUUCUGAAUGGAAGGGCCAUCGCUCAACGGAUAAAAGGUACUCCGGGGAUAACAGGCUGAUACCGCCCAAGAGUUCAUAUCGACGGCGGUGUUUGGCACCUCGAUGUCGGCUCAUCACAUCCUGGGGCUGAAGUAGGUCCCAAGGGUAUGGCUGUUCGCCAUUUAAAGUGGUACGCGAGCUGGGUUUAGAACGUCGUGAGACAGUUCGGUCCCUAUCUGCCGUGGGCGCUGGAGAACUGAGGGGGGCUGCUCCUAGUACGAGAGGACCGGAGUGGACGCAUCACUGGUGUUCGGGUUGUCAUGCCAAUGGCACUGCCCGGUAGCUAAAUGCGGAAGAGAUAAGUGCUGAAAGCAUCUAAGCACGAAACUUGCCCCGAGAUGAGUUCUCCCUGACUCCUUGAGAGUCCUGAAGGAACGUUGAAGACGACGACGUUGAUAGGCCGGGUGUGUAAGCGCAGCGAUGCGUUGAGCUAACCGGUACUAAUGAACCGUGAGGCUUAACCUU